rnacentral:rRNA from 1 species
GAUGAACGCUGGCGGCGUGCCUAAUACAUGCAAGUCGAGCGAACAGAUAAGGAGCUUGCUCCUUUGACGUUAGCGGCGGACGGGUGAGUAACACGUGGGUAACCUACCUAUAAGACUGGAAUAACUCCGGGAAACCGGGGCUAAUGCCGGAUAACAUUUAGAACCGCAUGGUUCUAAAGUGAAAGAUGGUUUUGCUAUCACUUAUAGAUGGACCCGCGCCGUAUUAGCUAGUUGGUAAGGUAACGGCUUACCAAGGCAACGAUACGUAGCCGACCUGAGAGGGAGAUCGGCCACACUGGAACUGAGACACGGUCCAGACUCCUACGGGAGGCAGCAGUAGGGAAUCUUCCGCAAUGGGCGAAAGCCUGACGGAGCAACGCCGCGUGAGUGAUGAAGGUCUUCGGAUCGUAAAACUCUGUUAUUAGGGAAGAACAAAUGUGUAAGUAACUGUGCACGUCUUGACGGUACCUAAUCAGAAAGCCACGGCUAACUACGUG